rnacentral:rRNA from 1 species
GACGAACGCUGGCGGCGUGCUUAACACAUGCAAGUCGAACGGAAAGGCCCUGCUUUUGUGGGGUGCUCGAGUGGCGAACGGGUGAGUAACACGUGAGUAACCUGCCCUUGACUUUGGGAUAACUUCAGGAAACUGGGGCUAAUACCGGAUAGGAGCUCCUGCUGCGUGGUGGGGGUUGGAAAGUUUCGGCGGUUGGGGAUGGACUCGCGGCUUAUCAGCUUGUUGGUGGGGUAGUGGCUUACCAAGGCUUUGACGGGUAGCCGGCCUGAGAGGGUGACCGGCCACAUUGGGACUGAGAUACGGCCCAGACUCCUACGGUAGGCAGCAGUGGGGAAUAUUGCACAAUGGGCGGAAGCCUGAGGCAGCAACGCCGCGUGCGGGAUGACGGCCUUCGGGUUGUAAACCGCUUUCGCCUGUGACGAAGCGGGAGUGACGGUAAUGGGUAAAGAAGCACCGGCUAACUACGUG